rnacentral:rRNA from 1 species
UACGUAGGGUGCGAGCGUUAAUCGGAAUUACUGGGCGUAAAGCGCACGUAGGCGGUUCGUUAUGUCGGAUGUGAAAGCCCUUGGCUUAACCGAGGAAGUGCAUCCGAAACUGGCGAGCUAGAGUACGAAAAGAGGAUCGCGGAAUUCCCGGUGUAGAGGUGAAAUUCGUAGAUAUCGGGAGGAACACCGGUGGCGAAGGCGGCGAUCUGGGUCGAUACUGACGCUGAGGUGCGAAAGCGUGGGGAGCAAACAGG